rnacentral:rRNA from 1 species
UACGAAGGGGGCUAGCGUUGCUCGGAAUUACUGGGCGUAAAGCGCACGUAGGCGGCUUGUUAAGUCAGGGGUGAAAUCCUGGAGCUCAACUCCAGAACUGCCUUUGAUACUGGCGAGCUUGAGUUCGGGAGAGGUGAGUGGAACUGCGAGUGUAGAGGUGAAAUUCGUAGAUAUUCGCAAGAACACCAGUGGCGAAGGCGGCUCACUGGCCCGAUACUGACGCUGAGGUGCGAAAGCGGUGGGAGCAAACAGGG